GAAAAGAACCCCGGGAGGGGAGUGAAAUAGAACCUGAAACCCUGCACUUACAAGCUGUGGAAGCACAUUUCUUGUGUGACCGCGUACUUUUUGUAGAACGGGCCAACGAGUUACGUUAAGUAGCAAGGUUAAGCACUUAAGGUGCGGAGCCGUAGCGAAAGCGAGUUUUAACUGAGCGUUCAGUUACUUGACGUAGACCCGAAACCGGGCGACCUACCCAUGAGCAGGAUGAAGCGAAAGUAAAAUUUCGUGGAGGUCCGAACCCACGAGCGUUGAAAAGCUCGGGGAUGACUUGUGGGUAGCGGUGAAAUUCCAAUCGAGCCCGGAGAUAGCUGGUUCUCCCCGAAAUAGCUUUAGGGCUAGCCUCAAGGUGAGAGAUACGGAGGUAGAGCACUGAAUGUCCUAGGGGGUAUUGCACCUACCGAAGACUAUCAAACUCCGAAUGCCGUCAUCUUAUACUUGGGAGUCAGACUGUGGGUGAUAAGAUUCAUAGUCGAAAGGGCAACAGCCCAGAUCGUCAGCUAAGGUCCCUAAAUGUAAGUUAAGUGGUAAAGGAUGUGGGAUUGCACAGACAACCAGGAUGUUGGCUUAGAAGCAGCCACUCAUUCAAAGAGUGCGUAAUAGCUCACUGGUCGAGUGAUCCUGCGCCGAAGAUUUCCGGGGCUAAAACUUACUACCGAAGCUACGGCAUCAGUAAUGAUGGGUAGGGGAGCUUCCCAUACGGGUUGAAGCAUGACCGUAAGGACAUGUGGACAGUAUGGGAGUGAGAAUGUUGGCAUGAGUAGCGAGAUGUGGGUGAGAAUCCCACAGGCCGUAAACCCAAGGUUUCCAGGGGAAGGUUCGUCCGCCCUGGGUUAGUCGGGACCUAAGCUGAGGCCGAAAGGCGUAGGUGAUGGACAACAGGUUGAUAUUCCUGUACUACCGAUAACCGUUUGAGAGAAGGGAUGACACAGUAGGAUAAGCUAAGCACACUGUUGGUUAUGUGUGCCCAAGCAUUGAGGCAGUCAAAGUAGGCAAAUCCGCUUUGAUAAUGCUGGGAUGUGAUGGGGAGCGAAAUUUAGUAGCGAAGUAGCUGAUUUCACACUGUCAAGAAAAGUCUCUAUCGAGGUUAAAGGUACCCGUACCGCAAACCGACACAGGUGGGUGAGGAGAGUAUCCUAAGGCCAGCGAGAGAACUGUUGUUAAGGAACUCGGCAAAAUGACCCCGUAACUUAGGGAUAAGGGGUGCCACCAUCAGGUGGCCGCAGAGAAUAGGCCCAAGCGACUGUUUACCAAAAACAUAGGUUUCUGCUAAGUCGCAAGACGAUGUAUAGGAGCUGACGCCUGCCCGGUGCUGGAAGGUUAAGGGGAUCUGUUAGAGCAAUCGAAGCAGUGAACUUAAGCCCCAGUAAACGGCGGCCGUAACUAUAACGGUCCUAAGGUAGCGAAAUUCCUUGUCGGGUAAGUUCCGACCCGCACGAAAGGCGUAACGAUUUGGGCACUGUCUCAACAACAGACUCGGUGAAAUUGUAAUUCCGGUGAAGAUGCCGGAUACCUGCGACAGGACGGAAAGACCCCAUGGAGCUUUACUGUAGCUUGACAUUGGGUCUUGGUACUACAUGUACAGGAUAGGUGGGAGGCUUUGAAACCAGGACGCCAGUUUUGGCGGAGCCAUCCUUGGGAUACCACCCUUGUAGUACUGGGACUCUAACCAUAGGCCAUGAAUCUGGUCUUGGGACACUGUCAGGUGGGCAGUUUGACUGGGGCGGUCGCCUCCCAAAAGGUAACGGAGGCGCUCAAAGGUUCUCUCAGUACGGUCGGAAAUCGUACGUAGAGUGUAAAGGCAAAAGAGAGCUUGAUUGCAAGACAUACAGGUCGAGCAAGGAUGAAAAUCGGACUUAGUGAUCCGGUGGUUCUGCGUGGAAGGGCCAUCGCUCAACGGAUAAAAGCUACCCUGGGGAUAACAGGCUUAUCUCCCCCAAGAGUCCACAUCGACGGGGAGGUUUGGCACCUCGAUGUCGGCUCAUCACAUCCUGGGGCUGUAGUAGGUCCCAAGGGUUGGGCUGUUCGCCCAUUAAAGUGGUACGCGAGCUGGGUUCAGAACGUCGUGAGACAGUUCGGUCCCUAUCCGUCGCAGGCGUAGGAAAUUUGAGAAGACCUGUCCUUAGUACGAGAGGACCGGGAUGGACGUACCUCUGGUGUACCAGUUGUCCUGCCAAGGGCAUGGCUGGG
rnacentral:rRNA from 1 species